AUAUCUGCAGGUUCCACUGCUGGUUCUCACUCCCGGAAAGGGCUCGGAUUCAUGCGCUAUGAUGACUCAGAUGAGGAAAAUACAGACUACAAUCAGCAACAGUGGCAGCACAAUGUUGAAGCUUUCUCUUUAGCUGGAAGUGUUGCUAGUAAGGAUUCUGAAGUAGAAAUUGGUUUCUUAAGAAAUACAGAGAAACACAUAGAAAGAAAAGAAAAGAAAGGACUAAUAAGCAAUGAUCAAGAAGAUGAAGAUUACAUGUAAGUAUUCUCUCAAAUU